rnacentral:snRNA from 1 species
GUGCUUGCUCUGGCGGCAUACAUACUAAUACUGGAACAAUGCAGAGGUUAACAUGGCCCCUGUGCAAGCAUGACAUGCAAAUUUAUGAAGGAUUCCAUAUUGGA